UACGUAGGGUGCAAGCGUUGUCCGGAAUUAUUGGGCGUAAAGAGCUCGUAGGCGGUCUGUCGCGUCUGCUGUGAAAACUCAGGGCUUAACCCUGAGCUUGCAGUGGGUACGGGCAGACUAGAGUGCGGUAGGGGAGACUGGAAUUCCUGGUGUAGCGGUGAAAUGCGCAGAUAUCAGGAGGAACACCGGUGGCGAAGGCGGCUCUCUGGGACGGUACUGACGCUGAGACGCGAAAGCGUGGGGAGCGAA
rnacentral:rRNA from 1 species